UACAGAGGUCCCGAGCGUUGUUCGGAUUCACUGGGCGUAAAGGGUGCGUAGGCGGUCGGGUAAGUCUGAUGUGAAAUCUCACAGCUUAACUGUGAAACUGCAUUGGAUACUAUUCGGCUUGAGAGUUGGAGGGGGGACUGGAAUUCCUGGUGUAGCGGUGAAAUGCGCAGAUAUCAGGAGGAACACCGAUGGCGAAGGCAGGUCUCUGGGCCACUACUGACGCUGAGAAGCGAAAGCAUGGGGAGCGAACAGG
rnacentral:rRNA from 1 species